AUGCUGGAGAAUCAGAGCCAGGCGGAGGUUCUGUGGCCGAGGCUGGUGGCCAACAAGCUCUUCAGGAAGCCCUCCGGGAGCCACGCCUUCGUCGCCGACUUCCCGGCGGCCGCCGGCGCCGCGGAGGAGGAGUUCGACGGGUGCGGCAGCCCCGACGCCGACGCGCAGCGCUGCGUGAAGCGCCCGCGGCCGCAGCAGCGGAACAAGACGCUCAAGUACAGGCUGUUCGCGAGCACGUGGAACGUCGGCGGCGUGGCGCCACCGGACGACCUCGACCUGUCCGACUGGCUCGACACCAGGAACGGCACCUACGACAUCUACGUCCUCGGAUUUCAGGAGGUGGUGCCGCUGAGAGCGCGGAACGUGCUGGGCGCGGACAAGAACCGCAUCGGCAUGCGGUGGAACGAGCUGGUGCGGGCCGCGCUGAACCGGUCGUCGCCGUCGCCGUCGCCGGGCGCCACCGGGGGAGGGGAGAAGCAGAAGGUGCACCCGGUGAGGGACGGCGCCGGCGGCCUGCAGUCGCGUGACUUCCGGUGCGUGGUGAGCAAGCAGAUGGUGGGCAUCCUGCUCACCGUCUGGGUCCGCGGCGACCUCCGCCGCUUCGUCCGCCGCCCCAGCGUCUCCUGCGUCGGCUGCGGCGUCAUGGGCUGCCUCGGCAACAAGGGCGCCGUGUCCGUGAGGUUUUGGCUGCGUGACACGAGCUUCUGCUUCGUGUGCUGCCACCUCGCGUCCGGCGGCAGGGAGGGCGACGAGGCGCACCGCAACGCCGACGCCGCGGAGAUCCUCCGGCGGACGAGCUUCCCGCGGCGCCACUGCUCCUCCUCCUCCCCGUCACUCGCCACGCCCCACAAGAUUCUAGAUCACGACCGGGUGAUCCUGCUUGGCGACCUCAACUAUCGGAUCUCCCUGCCCGAGGCCAAGACGAGGCUGCUGGUGGAGCGGCACGACUGGAAGACGCUCCUGGACAACGACCAGCUGCGGGGCGAGGUGUCGUCGGAAGGAGGGACGUUCAACGGGUGGAACGAGGGGGCGAUCACGUUCUCGCCGACGUACAAGUACCACCGGAACUCGGACGCCUACUACGGCUGCGCGCAGCUGGGGAGUAAGGGCGACAAGCUGAAGCGGCGCGCGCCGGCGUGGUGCGACCGCGUGCUGUGGCGCGGCGCGGGCCUGAGGCAGACCCGGUACGACCGGUGCGAGUCGCGGCUGUCGGACCACCGCCCCGUGCGCGCCGCCUUCGCCGUCGAGGUGGACGCGCCGUGGAACCUCAACUCCCUCCGGAGCUUCUUCCUGUCCGAGCGGUUCGACGACCGGGCCAAGGGCCCGGCCGACGGCCUGUUCCUGCUCCGGGAGGACGACCACACGGCCGCCAGCGCCAGAUACGCCGAGGAUGUUUGA
rnacentral:rRNA from 1 species